rnacentral:rRNA from 1 species
UCUAAGUAUAAGCAAUUAUACCGUGAAACUGCGAAUGGCUCAUUAAAUCAGUUAUCGUUUAUUUGAUAGUACCUUACUACUUGGAUACCCGUGGUAAUUCUAGAGCUAAUACAUGCAAAAAACCCCGACUUUGGGAGGGGUGUAUUUAUUAGAUAAAAAACCAAUGCCCUUCGGGGCUCCUUGGUGAUUCAUAAUAACUUAACGGAUCGCAUGGCCUUGCGCCGGCGACGGUUCAUUCAAAUUUCUGCCCUAUCAACUUUCGAUGGUAAGGUAUUGGCUUACCAUGGUUUCAACGGGUAACGGAUUUUUAGGGAAAGAUCCCGGAGAGGCAGCCUGAGAAACGGCUACCACAUCCAAGGAAGGCAGCAGGCGCGCAAAUUACCCAAUCCUGAUACAGGGAGGUAGUGACAAUAAAUACUGAUACAGGGCUCUUUUGGGUCUUGUAAUCGGAAUGAGUACAAUUUAAAUACCUUAACGAGGAACAAUUGGAGGGCAAGUCUGGUGCCAGCAGCCGCGGUAAUUCCAGCUCCAAUAGCGUAUAUUAAAGUUGUUGCAGUUAAAAAGCUCGUAGUUGAACCUUGGGCCUGGCUGACCGGUCCGCCUCACCGCGUGUACUGGUUCGGCUGGGCCUUUCCUUCUGGAGAACCGCAUGCCCUUCACUGGGUGUGUCGGGGAACCAGGACUUUUACUUUGAGAAAAUUAGAGUGUUCAAAGCAGGCCUUUGCUCGAAUACGUUAGCAUGGAAUAAUAGAAUAGGACGUGCGGUCCUAUUUUGUUGGUUUCUAGAACCGCCGUAAUGAUUAAUAGGGAUAGUCGGGGGCGUCAGUAUUCAAUUGUCAGAGGUGAAAUUCUUGGAUCUAUUGAAGACUAACUACUGCGAAAGCAUUCGCCAAGGAUGUUUUCAUUAAUCAGUGAACGAAAGUUAGGGGAUCGAAGACGAUCAGAUACCGUCGUAGUCUUAACCGUAAACUAUGCCGACUAGGGAUCGGGCGAUGUUUCUUUCUUGACUCGCUCGGCACCUUACGAGAAAUCAUAA